UAAUACGAAGGGAGCUAGCGUUGUUCGGAAUUACUGGGCGUAAAGGGCGCGUAGGCGGCUUGGCAAGUUGGAUGUGAAAGCCCAGGGCUCAACCCUGGAAUUGCAUUCAAGACUGCCUUGCUUGAAUUCGGUAGAGGUUGGUGGAAUUCCCAGUGUAGAGGUGAAAUUCGUAGAGAUUGGGAAGAACACCCGUGGCGAAGGCGGCCAACUGGACCGACAUUGACGCUGAGGCGCGAAAGCGUGGGGAUCAAACAGGAUUAGAUACCCUGGUAGUCCACGCCGUAAACGAUGCAUGCUAGACGUUGGAGGGCUUAGCCCUCUUGUGUCGCAGCUAACGCACUAAGCAUGCCGCCUGGGGAGUACGGCCGCAAGGUUG
rnacentral:rRNA from 1 species